rnacentral:rRNA from 1 species
CCUACGGGAGGCUGCAGUGAGGAAUAUUGGUCAAUGGACGAGAGUCUGAACCAGCCAAGUAGCGUGAAGGAUGACUGCCCUAUGGGUUGUAAACUUCUUUUAUAUGGGAAUAAAAUGUUCCACGUGUGGGAUUUUGUAUGUACCAUAUGAAUAAGGAUCGGCUAACUCCGUGCCAGCAGCCGCGGUAAUACGGAGGAUCCGAGCGUUAUCCGGAUUUAUUGGGUUUAAAGGGGGCGUAGGUGGAUUGUUAAGUCAGUUGUGAAAGUUUGCGGCUCAACCGUAAAAUUGCAGUUGAAACUGGCAGUCUUGAGUACAGUAGAGGUGGGCGGAAUGCGUGGUGGAGCGGUGAAAUGCUUAGAUAUCACGAAGAACUCCGAUUGCGAAGGCAGUUCACUGGACUGCAACUGACACUGAGGCUCGAAAGUGUGGGUAUCAAACAGGAUUAGAUACCCCAGUAGUC